rnacentral:misc_RNA from 1 species
GAUGAAGAACGUAGUGAAAUGCGAUAAGUAGUGUGAAUUGCAGAAUUCAGUGAAUCAUCGAAUCUUUGAACGCACAUUGCGCCCUUUGGUAUUCCUUAGGGCAUGCCUGUUCGAGCGUCAUUUAAACCUUCAAGCUCAGCUUGGUGUUGGGUGACUGUCCGCCGCCUCCGGGCGGUCGGACUCGCCUCAAAUUGAUUGGCGGCCGGUACUUUGGCUUCGAGCGCAGCAGAAACGCGAACUCGAGGCCGUCGUCCUGGCUCCCAGAAGCUAUCUUCACAAUUUUGACCUCGGAUCAGGUAGGGAUACCCGCUGAACUUAAGCAUAUCAAUAAGCGGAGGA